CGCCCCCAGCGCCGGGCUGAGCGCGGCCUGCGGCGCUCUCGGCGCGGAGCCGCCGGGGAAGGAGCGACGGAGCGGCCUCGGAGAGGCAAAGCCGAUCGCCGGCAGCGACCAUCAGAGGAAAGCGGAAAAACAUGAUGCUCGGAGUGGGUGGAGUGAAAUCCAGAGAGGUCUCACCUCGUCACCCCCAGAUCCUCCUCUGUAUCUCUCCAGCUGCGGAAGCCACGUGUUGUGGUGUCAAGCAUAAGCCCAGCUCGUGAAGAUGUUGAAAAUGAAUUUGUUACUUGGAAGUUGUUCUGGAGGGAAUUGCAACAGCAUUGUCUCCGGAAAGAGGAUGCGGGAGCAUGUCAAGGCAUGUAUUUUACAUUCGAUGAAAGCCUAUUAGUGCUAAGUCUUCACUAAAUGAAGAGACAAAAGGCUGAAAGUUAACGUGAAGGGAAAGUUUCUCACUGCUGAGAAGCAGAAGUUCAUUACUCCUGGACCCUCAUUGUUACAUUCACAAAGCUCAUCAUAGGCAGCAGGGACAAGCGGGGCUGGUAUGUGAUAAACCAAUGCUUUGAGAAUAGGUAAGGUAUCCAAAUUGUGAUACAGCCCACUAAUGGAUGAACUGUACUAUUAGAUAUUUCAUCAAUGACUGUACUUACAAGAACUGCUUAAUUGUCUUUAUUCCAGGAUAUGAGAUGCCUAAAGGAUAGAAUAAGCUUCUAAGAUAAUAGAAUAACAAAACUAAAAUGCAUUAGUGGACGAUACCAAAUCUUACAGUAAAGCAAUGCAAAAGUAUUUUAAUGACAUAAGUUUCUACACAAAGAGCAGCAUUGACAGAACAAACAGUAAUUGUUAAAAUAAAAUUACAAACAAUUUAUAAUGAGCUGGUUUUUAGGACCUCAUGGUUUUUUUUUAAAACCUCAUGGUUUUGACUGAAAUUGUACAGGCUGGCCUGAUUGAAAGCAGUGCUGUUUUGAAUACUACAGUAGGUCUGGAGGUGACUGGUUGACUUAGUUUGGGGGACAAGAAAACAAUCUUCUAGCUAAAAGAAUCACACAGGCUUUUUUAUUUUUGAAACAUCAAGAGGCCAAAAGUGUCGCAGUUGGCAAUGGCAGUCUGAUGAGGCAUAUCCCUCAUGUGAAAGCCAAGUUGUACUUUAUUGCAGAUCUAAGGGGACAAAGCCUUGCAUGUUUGAGGGCAGUUGCACCAAAAUAUCAAGAUUCUAUGUUUGUACCAUCACACUGCUAUCCAGCCUUAGCUUUUCCACAGCUCUGAGUUAGAGCUGAAGCACUUGAGGAGUCCUGGCAGUGACUAGUCACACCUGAUAGCCAACAGCUGUGUUAGCCCCUUUCUGGCUCUUGGGGCAGUGAGCCUGUGUCUGGAGCAACCCUUGUGCCAAAUCAAAGUUAACAUUGUCAUCUUAUGAAUCUGAGCCAACCUGUCUAUAUUGUUUAGGGUCUGUGCUCUCAGUUCACUUGGCUGACAGCAAGAGCCUUGUGUUACUGAUAAAUUUUUCUGGAAGAAUUGGGUAUUUUGGUAUAUAUCCAAACUGCUUUGAGUGUUCUGGUGUAAAGUGCGCUGUAAAUAUUUCCAGUAGCAUACACAAAAUUUGGAAAUUAAGAUCAGUUUUAUUAUAUUGUAGGCUGCGAUUAUGCAAUCUGUACUCUUCAGCUGACCUCUAAUGCUACUCUUUGACCUGCAAUUCAAGAGCACAAUUUCAGUGAUUUGUCUUUCUCGGUAUUUAAACUCAGCUCAUUUUUGUGCUAUUUUAGUGCCAAUAUCUGCUCUAUUUCUAGUCCUGUGUCCUUAGUCUCAUCAACUAUACAGCUAAUACUUGUUUAUAACAGAAAAUCAAGGUAUUUUACUUUUGCACCAGUAAAACUGAUAAAGGUGUAAACUCUUUUCUGACACCAGAAUUUCUAGCAGAACAGUGUGAUGAGUUAGCUCUGUUUGUGAACUGUUCACCACCUUCAGCUCAAGAUUUUUCCCCUCUAGUUCUAACGUAUAUGUUCUGGCAGUGUGGGGUGAUCCACAGUGCAGGACUAAGACAUUCUAAAGUUGACGGCAUCACAUGCAGAAAUGUUCAUUUGCACAUCACUUAAAAUAUGACUUCAAGACAAACCACUAUUAUAUAAUGUCUUCCCACAUGCUUAAUGUUGUAUAAUUAUUUCCAGUACAUUGAGUAUCAUGUAUAAUUACUUCCAAUACACUUAAUAUGAGAAAAAGCUUGUAGACAGUACUUUGGAUGAUGUUAUUAGUUUACUCUGUACCCAUAUCCCCAGCCCCAAGGCUUAACUACUUUGUCUGAACAGUCCAAAGGAAAUGAUUGAGGGAAAAGGCUGAUGUACCCGUAAUUUGGUAGGUUGAUUAGAGGAGAAUAUGUGACUUGCAACCUGCACAGCAAGGAGCUGUUUGACAUGUUCCUGCCUUUCUCGACAGAGGAUAACUCACUUUGUGUUUUGUAUAGCUGCAAAGCUAUUCAAAUCACCUGCCACUAAAUCUAAAUAGAGUAGCUUGGCUCUAUGAGAAUAUACCCUCUGGGAGAGAUGAAAGAUAUGUAGACUCAUACGUGAGGCCACUCCUACAGAAUCCUUUCUUUUACCAGCUGUCAUUAAAAGUAAUAAGUAAUGAGCAGACGUCUUGUGAUGAGGCUGUUAUUAGAAGGAAGAAAGGAAGAUUUGUUUUACUUCAUGAAUCAUCUGCAAAAUAAUUUUAAAGCAGCUUUGUUCAAGGUGAUUUUUGAGCUGGCAUUGCUGUAUGUUGUGUUAUUCUCUGAGUAAAAUGAAAAGACUUCAAAUGAAACAAUCUGCUUCCAAAGUUUUGAAAUGGUAUGUUUGGUAGGAAAAAAAAAAUCCUUUUUUUUUUUUAAUAAAAUUUUUAUGCUUCCAGGACUGUAAUUUAUGAUAUGCACUUGUGUCCAGUAUAAUUGACUCAGGUGAGCAGCAGAUGCAAUAACUGCUUCAUUUUUAGUGAGGAGGCCUCCAGACAUUUCCUGAGGCACUGGAGAGAUUUCUGCUCAGUCAAUUAUUUCUUGAUGCAGAAAGUCUUGCUGACUAGAAACUUGGAUUAAAUGAUCUGUCUGGGGGGAGAAGGAAGUCAGGGCACUGAAAAGAUUCAAGUGAAGGAUCCUCUGAUGUAUCUUCCAGUUAAAGUCUUCCUGCUCUGCAUUGAGGAAUAUGACUAAAGGGGACUUAUUCUGGUCUAACUAAUAACAUUUAUUCCUCUCCAAGCCAAUUUCUCAAUUAGUGUGUGAGACACUGUUGUGGCUUGUCAAUAUUGCUUUAAAAUUUCUUUUUCUUGCUGUUGCCUGAUGUAGAAAUGACUGUAGUAGCAUUAAGUUAUGUCAUGAAUCUAAGUGGUGUAUUUCUAGGAUGUUUUUGGUGAAUUUUUAUUGAUAACCGUUGGUUUUGAGGGUUGGAGUUUUUUACUUCAGUAAGGAUGAAUUGUGCAUUUCAGUCUACAAAGUUUUGUGCAUUUAUGUAAAGUGAAUAUAAUCACAUUGUUUCACCACUUGGUUCUGUAUUAGCAUGUUCCUUUUGCAAGGAACUUGAAUUUCUCAUUUCUGAGUAGCCCACAUAUUCUUUUGCUGUGUCUGUGUACAGGACAUGAUUAUGGUGCCUUGACUGACUUGGGCAUAUCUAAUCAUGCCAUGAAUGCUGCUGGCAGUAAUAGCAAUUGUAGUGUGUGAAUUAUUCUGUGCACACAUUGCUGAGCUGCUCCCUCUCAGAGUGGUCUGGCAUGGUGACUGGUGCCCGUUUCAUCCUGUUCACCUUUUUCUCCUGCUACCACCAGUUCCCUUGGAAGUGUACUCUCCUACCAAUUCAGGUGUUCAAAUCUGUCCUAAAGAGGCUCUUUGAUGAUGUCCACAAGGUACAAAGUAUUCCAAAGACAGCAAGAACUUCCAAAUUAUUUUCCAGUUUAUUUUCUUUCCAGCAUCUUCUAAGAUGGAGACCCUUUAUUAUAGCAUUAUCUUUAUAUUCUUUUCCAUAGACUGACCUGUGGGUUUUGGUUUUUUUUUUUUAGUAGAUAACUGUGUGAUAUAAAAUAAAAAAAUGCCAGGUGCUCUAUAGCAAAGCUGAAGGCUACCUUCUCAUCCUUCUCUGCAUGCUGAGUUGUCUUUAAUGCAUCACUUCAUUCAUUGUGAGUAUCAGAAGCAGUGAAAUUCUUCUUUAGACAUAAGAAAAACAGUGGCUGAGUGCAAAGUCCUUCCAAAGACUCUGUUGAUGAUUAAGCUUUACAAAGGCCUGAAUUCAUAGUGUGCAUCUUAACGAAGAGACUGAGUUCCUUGGUUACUUGAAUUCCCACCACAGGCAGGACUGUAGGUGUGUGCGCUUUUUUGCACACAUAUAUCCUCUUGAAGGACAAUACACCAAAAAGUUCCAUCAUCAACAUCUCCUGCAAAGCCACAAAUACUAGUUGAGUGUGGGUUGGAACAUUCAAAAGUUAGUUGAAAAGCAGAAUAAAUAAAUAAUAUUUUUCUCUUUA